ensembl:scaRNA
UAGCACCAGAUACGAGCCCGUCAGCCCGGUGAGUCCCAGUUGUAUUGCACGCUGGCCUCCCGUCCUCCCCGUGGCUGCACGGCUUCCGGAAGGUGCGAGAGCAACACCGAGCCCUGAUAUUUAAGCUUCUCAGUGGGGAGCGCCACUGUUGAGUUAUGGCUCAGAGGCACAGCU